GAUGAAGAACGCAGCGAAAUGCGCUAAGUAAUGUGAAUUGCAGAAUUCAGUGAAUCAUCGAAUCUUUGAACGCACAUUGCGCCCCUUGGUAUUCCGAGGGGCAUGCCUGUUCGAGCGUCAUUAUAACCCCUCAAGCUCAGCUUGGUGUUGGGGCCUGCUGCACUGGCAGCCCUUAAAAUCAGUGGCGGCGCCAUCUGGCUCUAAGCGUAGUAAUUCUUCUCGCUAUGGAGUCCUGGUGGAUGCUUGCCAUCAACCCCCAAUUUUUCUAUGGUUGACCUCGGAUCAGGUAGGGAUACCCGCUGAACUUAAGCAUAUCAAUAAGCGGAGGA
rnacentral:misc_RNA from 1 species